rnacentral:rRNA from 1 species
GAUAAGAACGCUUGGCGGCCGUGGCCGUAACACAUGCAAGUCGAACGGACAUUUUUUGGAAAGCGUCUUCGGAACUAGGAAUCUAAAUGUUAGUGGCGGACGGGUGAGUAACGCGUGAGCAAUCUGCCUUUCAGAGGGGGAUAACAGCCGGAAACGGCUGCUAAUACCGCAUAAUGCAUCGGAUUCGCAUGUUUCUGAUGCCAAAGAUUUUAUCGCUGAAAGAUGAGCUCGCGUCUGAUUAGCUAGUUGGCGGGGUAACGGCCCACCAAGGCGACGAUCAGUAGCCGGACUGAGAGGUUGAACGGCCACAUUGGGACUGAGACACGGCCCAG